GACAGGGGGAGCAAGCGUUGUUCGGAUUUACUGGGCGUAAAGGGCGCGUAGGCGGCGCAACAAGUCACUUGUGAAAUCUCCGGGCUUAACCCGGAGCGGUCAAGUGAUACUGUCGUGCUAGAGUGCGGAAGGGGCUACUGGAAUUCUCGGUGUAGCGGUGAAAUGCGUAGAUAUCGAGAGGAACACCUGCGGCGAAGGCGGGUAGCUGGGCCGACACUGACGCUGAUGCGCGAAAGCCAGGGGAGCGAACGGG
rnacentral:rRNA from 1 species